CCUCUCCUGAGGUGCUGACGACUCUGUGCUGUGUGUGCACCGCUCCUGAACCCACCCACCAAGAUGUCCUGCCAGCAGAACCAGCAGCAGUGCCAGCCCCCUCCCAAGUGCGUCCCCAAGUGCCCCACCCCUAAAUGCCCCCCAAAGUGCCCCCCAGUCUCCCCCUGCUGUGGCUCCAGCUCCGAGGGCUGCUGUGGCCCCAGCUCCGGGGACUGCUGCAGCUCUGGGUGUGGGGGCUGCUGCCUGAGCCACCACAGGCGCCACAGGUCCCACCACUGCAGACCCCACAGGUCUGACUGCUGCAGCCAGCCCUCGGGGGGCUCCGGGUGCUGCGGAGGGGGGAGUGGUCAGUCCUAUGGAGGCGGCUGCUGCUGAAGAUGUCCCUGAGUCUACAGGAUCCAACCUGGGGACAGCACACUGCUGAGGAUACCAUCUUUAUCCUCCUUCAUUGGCUGCCGGGCCUGAGAGCUCCUGUAGAAGACUCUGAACUUGCAAAGACAAUGAGCCCUCCCUGGGGCUCAGAAACUCAAAUUUUCUUCUGAAUCCCCUUCCAUGGCCUUGGAUUCUAUGUCCACCCUCACUUCCCUAGGAAAACUUCCCUAAGUUACUCCUCCUGGUAUUUUCUUAAAGGGUGCUCUCUGACUUUAUUGUAAAACAAUAAAAUGGAUCUGCUCAGCA